rnacentral:lncRNA from 10 species
CCUGGAAUUAAAAAAGGACAUUAGUUGGAUUGUUACCAAUGAGACCUGGGAGGAAGCCAGGAGGCAAAGGCCCGGAACUCAGUGCUGAAGUUGCAUGGCUGUCAAUGGCCACUAGAGGAUGCCAGAGCCCGAGAUUGGGGAGCCCAAAAAGGCACCAUCUCCUCCAACCGCCUGGAGAAUUACUGGCAGCUAAGAAGUGAAAGCAAUAGACAGGGUGGCAAUAGACCAUAAGGAAGUACUGUUCUGCCUGACCAUGUGGAGGGGGACAAGCAGGAUCUCAAAGUAUCCAGAGCCUUAAGGCACAAUGGACCAAGUAACUUCUUACUUUAUCUAAGGGCAAUGACUGAGGCAGGUAACUCAUGGAUCCGGGCUAGGAGUGAGAAGUGCUUUAUGACUGCAGUGAAACACACAAAUAAACUCCCUACCUCCAUGAAUUCUACAUUAAAAUCAUUAAAUAAAUAACAGGAAGUGCUGGAGAGUAAAAUAAAGAAUAAGAAGUGGGGUAGGGUGUAGGGGCUUGAACAGUAGCCAAGACCAUGUUCAGAUGACAGCAGGUCAGAAAACAAAGGAAGGUAAAAAAAAUGCUCCUUCUCAGCCCGCAGUGAAGAGCAGUGAGCUUAGCCACAGAGGUCUUGCCCACUGUGCUGUCUGCUUCUCCCAAUGAUAACCACCCCAAUCUGCUUUUAGGAAUUCUUCAAAGUAAAGAAAGUAUGUGGAAUCCAGAGGAAGAUGGUCAUUUGUUUAGGAAAACAAAAUUAUAAAAUUGGUCUUGUUCCGGGUGCGGUGGCUCACGCCUGUAAUCCUAGAACUUUGGGAGGCUGAGGUGGGUGGAUCAUGAGGUCAGAAGAUCGAGAUCAUCCUGGCCAACAUGGCGAAACCCCAGCCCUACUAAAAAUACAAAAAUUGGCUGGGUGUGGUGGUGCGCACCUGCAACCCCAGCUACUCGGGAGGCUGAGGCAGGAGAAUCGCUUGAACCCAGGAGGCAGAGGCUGUAGUGAGUGGAGAUCACACCACUGCACUCCAGCCUGGUGACAGAGAGAGACUCCGCCUCAAAAAAAAAUUGGUCUUGUACCCUGGAAACUAGCAUAAAUUGUAAAAGGUUAAUUACAAUCAGUAAUUAAAAUCCAAGAAAAUUUAAGUCAACAUGGGUGAAUUGGUUGAGUGCAGAGGGCAGUAAAAUGUUGUUAUGAUUCUUAAGAUUGUUUAGUGGAUACAGAUUCUGACUCAUGCUAGACAUUGUUAGAGCUGAUCUUAAAAAUAUGAAUGUUAAAAUAAUAAGGGAAACCACUAACAACAGGAAUACACUGUAUAAUUUUUCAGCUGUUUGAGAAAAACACUAGUCCUAAAGGACUCGUGGGAAGGAUGAUGGCCCCCACCUCAUUGGAGCCCAGGACUGAAGGAAGUGUCGAAAGCAGCCAGCUGAUAUCAAGGGAUCAACAGUGGGACAUUUCCACUGUGGGUAUCUCUGAGAAACCCACAGCAUUGAAGAGUCAGCUUGGAACAUCUAGAUCGCGAUACUACCAGUAGACAAUACCAAGUCCCUUUUCUACAGACCUAGCCCUGAAGCAAGAAAGUGAGCAAAUGAGGGAGAAGUUGACCACGUCUCUAUGACCUAUUGCAGACUUUCAUGACUAGAGCUGACCCAAGCCUGCAGAAGGAAAAAACUAAGUAAGAUGGAGUUUGGAGUUCUCAUUAUCACACUGGAUUGGGUCUCUAAAUGUCAAAAACAAAAAGACAGUUUAUGUGUUACCUACAAGUGAUCUAAAGAACUGUGAGACUUGUCCAAGAUUUCACCCAAGGGCAAGGAAUGGUCUGUUUGAUGGAGCAAGUUCACUGAGGAGUGGUGACAUAGUAUAAAUGUGUUUUAUAAUUGUAUUCUACUAAGCUCAGCCCAUUCAGUAUAAUUGUUGCAUUAAAAUCAGAUGAAUUUUGAAACAAGAUGAAAGUAUUAAAUAACACCAAGAGGGAUUUUUACAUUAAUGAACUAAUGACCUUUAUAACAAUGUUACUCCUUCCUUUGUCCUUCCCUGCUAGCUCUCCUUCAGUCCACUAAGGAGAUUUUCCUUUCUCUCGCCUCCUUGAGCUUCCUAUUUGCCUCAUACUCUACUCAUUCUACCAACAUAAUAUGAACUCCACCUCCCCUUGUCUCUCUUGUGGUCAGAAGCCCU